rnacentral:rRNA from 1 species
UGGGGAAUAUUGGACAAUGGGGGCAACCCUGAUCCAGCAAUGCCGCGUGAGUGAAGAAGGCCUUAGGGUUGUAAAGCUCUUUUACCAGGGAUGAUAAUGACCGUACCUGGAGAAUAAGCCCCGGCUAACUCCGUGCCAGCAGCCGCGGUAAUACGGAGGGGGCUAGCGUUGUUCGGAAUUACUGGGCGUAAAGCGUACGUAGGCGGUUUACCAAGUAAGGGGUGAAAUCCCAGGGCUUAACCCUGGAAUUGCCUUUUAGACUGGUAGACUUGAGACCGAGAGAGGUAAGGGGAAUUCCGAGUGUAGAGGUGAAAUUCGUAGAUAUUCGGAAGAACACCAGUGGCGAAGGCGCCUUACUGGCUCGGUACUGACGCUGAGGUACGAAAGCGUGGGGAGCAAACAGG